GGGAAUCGGGUGAGCGGCGGAGGGUUAGUAACGCGUGGGAAUAUGCCCCUCACUACGGAAUAGCCUCGGGAAACUGAGAGUAAUACCGUAUACGCCCUUUGGGGGAAAGAUUUAUCGGUGAAGGAUUAGCCCGCGUCUGAUUAGAUAGUUGGUGGGGUAACGGCCUACCAAGUCGACGAUCAGUAGCUGGUUUGAGAGGAUGAUCAGCAACACUGGGACUGAGACACGGCCCAGACUCCUACGGGAGGCAGCAGUGGGGAAUCUUAGACAAUGGGCGCAAGCCUGAUCUAGCCAUGCCGCGUGAGUGACGAAGGCCUUAGGGUCGUAAAGCUCUUUCGCCAGGGAUGAUAAUGACAGUACCUGGUAAAGAAACCCCGGCUAACUCCGUGCCAGCAGCCGCGGUAAUACGGAGGGGGUUAGCGUUGUUCGGAAUUACUGGGCGUAAAGUGCGCGUAGGCGGAUUGGAAAGUUGGGGGUGAAAUCCCGGGGCUCAACCCCGGAACUGCCUCCAAAACUAUCAGUCUAGAGUUCGAGAGAGGUGAGUGGAAUUCCGAGUGUAGAGGUGAAAUUCGUAGAUAUUCGGAGGAACACCAGUGGCGAAGGCGGCUCACUGGCUCGAUACUGACGCUGAGGUGCGAAAGUGUGGGGA
rnacentral:rRNA from 1 species